CCGACGGUGAGGGGUGAAAGCUGGGGGAGCAAACCGGAUUAGAUACCCGGGUAGUCCCAGCUGUAAACGAUGCAAACUCGAUGAUGCGUUGGCUUGUUGCUAGCGCAGUGUCGCAGGGAAGCCGUUAAGUUUGCCGCCUGGGAAGUACGUACGCAAGUAUGAAACUUAAAGGAAUUGGCGGGGGAGCACCACAAGGGGUGAAGCCUGCGGUUCAAUUGGAGUCAACGCCUGAAACCUUACCCGGAGAGACAGCAGAAUGAAGGUCAAGCUGAAGACUUUACCAGACAAGCUGAGAGGUGGUGCAUGGCCGUCGCCAGCUCGUGCCGUGAGAUGUCCUGUUAAGUCAGGUAACGAGCGAGAUCCCUGCCUCUAGUUGCCACCAUUACUCUCAGGAGUAGUGGGGCGAAUUAGCGGGACCGCCGCAGUUAAUGCGGAGGAAGGAAGGGGCCACGGCAGGUCAGUAUGCCCCGAAACUCUGGGGCCACACGCGGGCUGCAAUGGUAACGACAAUUGGUUUCGAAUCCGAAAGGAUGAGGUAAUCCUCAAACGUUACCACAGUUAUGACUGAGGGCUGCAACUCGCCCUCAUGAAUAUGGAAUCCCUAGUAACCGCGUGUCAUUAUCGCGCAGUGAAUACGUCCCUGCUCCUUGCACACACCGCCCGU
rnacentral:rRNA from 1 species